GGGUUGGGAAUUGCGGGAAAUGUAGAAACAGAAUUUUCUUGCGCUUCGAAAAUUUAUUUCUCUUCAGUCUAGAAAUGCCCAUCCCAAGUUUAUGUUGCCCUCACUGCCGUGGUUCUCAGGCAAACAACGUGGUUGUAAUUUUCAAAUGUAUCCACUCUGCAUCCACCAUCCUAGCAUUCUUCAAAACCACGUGUUCGUAGGCGAAUUCCUUCCUGCUUAAAAUGAAGGUCUUGAUUGGUGCACAGCUUUGGAUUAUGUAUCCAGCAAUGUGAAAAGAAAAAGAAUCUUGUGGUAGCAAACUGGAAGUUUCCUGUGAUGUAUGUACCAGUGUACUUUACUUUGUUGCAGUCCUGGUUUCAUCCAAUUAGAACUCGGGAAUUGGGCUUUCUCCUCACUGGUACAAUCCAUUCCAUAAUUGGUCGGAAAUUAUAAUGGCAAGCAACAUCAUUGGCUCGGGUUUAUAUUUUAAAAAUUCGUGUCCGUAAGGUGCGUUUCGUGUCAAAUGUUUUCCAAUUUAAUAGAGGUAUAACGCAUUUCGCUUUACUUCCCAUUUUGGUACAUGUUAGCAUGAAAUCAGUAGUUUCAGAUGGAUGAGAUCAACCCGAGUUCUUCGUUUGAAAGUAUGUGACCGAAACUUAUGUAAGAUUCGAAUAUGGUAAUAAAUUUAUGUUGGAUAA
rnacentral:misc_RNA from 1 species